ensembl:miRNA
UCUCUCUCGCUGUCUUUGGCAAUGGUAGAACUCACACUGGUGAGGUAUCAGGAUCCGGUGGUUCUAGACUUGCCAACUACCGCCCGAGGGUACA